rnacentral:lncRNA from 1 species
AUGGAAAAAAACAUAAGGGAUAACACUGUUGUUUUUAUUGGUCGUCAUGAAAAAAACAUAAGGGGUAACACUGUUGUUUUUAGUCGUCAUGAACAAAAACAUAAGGUAACACUGUUGUUUUUUAUUGGUCGUCAUGAAAAAAACAUAAGGGGUAACACUGUUGUUUUUUAUUGGUUGCCAUGAAAAAACAACUAAGGGGUAACACUGUUGUUUUUAUUGGUCGUCAUGAAAAAAAACAUAAGGGGUAUCAUUGUUGUUUUUUAUUUGUCGUCAUGAAAAAAACAUAAGGGGUAACACUGUUCAUCGGUCGUCAUGAAAAAAAUCAUGAGGGGCAACAUUGUUGUUUUUUAUUGGUCGUCAUGAAAAAAAACAUAAGGGGUAACACUGUUGUUUUUUAUUGGUCGUCAUGAAAAAAAACAUAAGGGGUAACACUGUUGUCUUUGUCAAAUAAAAUAUAAGUGGUAACACUGUCGUUUUUUAUCAGUCGUCAUGAAAAAUCAUAAGGGGUAACACUGUUGUUUUUUAUUGGUUGUCAUGAAAAAAAACAUAAGGGGUAACACUGUUGUUUUUAUUGGUCGUCAUGAAAAAAAACAUAAUGGGUAACACUGUUGUAUUUCAUUGGUCGUCAUGAAAAAAAACAUAAGGGGUAACACUGUUGUUUUUCAUUGGUCGUCAUGAAAAAAAACAUAAGGGGUAACACUGUUGUUUUUAUUGGCCGUCAUGAAAAAAAUCAUAAGGGGUAACACUGUUGUUUUUUAUUGGUCGUCAUGAAAAAAACAUAAGGGGUAACACUGUUGUUUUUUAUUGGUCGUCAUGAAAAAAAAAGAAAAGGGGAAACACUGUUGUUUUUUAUCGGUCGUCAUGAAAAAAGACAUAAGGGGUAUCAUUGUUGUUUUUAUUGGCCGUCAUGAAAAAAAUCAUAAGGGGUAACAUUGCUGUUUUUUAUUGGUCGCCAUGAAAAAACAAAAGGGGUAACACUGUUGUUUUUUAUUGGUCGUCAUGAAAAAAAACAUAAGGGGUAACACUGUUGUCUUUCUCAAAUAAAAUAUUAGUGGUAACACUGUUUUUUUUUAUUGGUCGU